rnacentral:rRNA from 1 species
CCUACGGGCGGCAGCAGUGAGGAAUAUUGGUCAAUGGACGCAAGUCUGAACCAGCCAAGCCGCGUGCAGGAAGACGGCACUAUGAGUUGUAAACUGCUUUUGUCAGAGGGCAAAGGCAGAUACGCGUAUCUGUCUGAAAGUAUCGUACGAAUAAGGAUCGGCUAACUCCGUGCCAGCAGCCGCGGUAAUACGGAGGAUUCAAGCGUUAUCCGGAUUUAUUGGGUUUAAAGGGUGCGUAGGCGGUCGGAUAAGUUAGAGGUGAAAUCCCGAGGCUCAACUCCGGCAUUGCCUCUGAUACUGUCAGUCUAGAGAGUAGGUGCGGUAGGCGGAAUGUAUGGUGUAGCGGUGAAAUGCUUAGAGAUCAUACAGAACACCGAUUGCGAAGGCAGCUUACCAAGCUACUUCUGACGUUGAGGCACGAAAGCGUGGGGAGCAAACAGGAUUAGAUACCCUUGUAGUC